UACGAAGGCCCCAAGCAUUAUCCGGAUUUACUGGGUGUAAAGGGUCUGUAGACGGCUUAAUAAGUUAACCGUAAAAUCUUCUAGCUCAACUAGAAGUUUGCGAUUAAUACUAUUAGGCUAGAGGUCGGGGGAAGCAAGUGGAAUUGGUGGUGUAGUCGUAAUAAGCGUUAAUAUCACCAGGAACACCGAAAGCGAAAGCAGCUUGCUAAAACGAUCCUGACGUUGAGAGACGAAAGCGUGGGGAGCGAUACGG
rnacentral:rRNA from 1 species